rnacentral:lncRNA from 1 species
CAGCCGGAGUCGGGGACGAGGUCCGGCUCCCGUAGGAGUCCGGGCGAAGUCUAGAAGGUGGUCGAUCAUCGUGAAAACUUGGGUGGAAUUCGUCCGUCGUGAAGAAUUCGAUCGACACUGGUGGGGGCUUAUCCGUCGGCAAAACUUGAGAGUGUUGCGGAGGCUCGAUCAUCAGAGAGGUUCGGAGAGAUGUCGCCAA